rnacentral:rRNA from 1 species
UGCGCUAUCAGAUGAGCCUAGGUCGGAUUAGCUAGUAGGUGAGGUAAUGGCUCACCUAGGCGACGAUCCGUAACUGGUCUGAGAGRAUGAUCAGUCACACUGGAACUGAGACACGGUCCAGACUCCUACGGGAGGCAGCAGUGGGGAAUAUUGGACAAUGGGCGAAAGCCUGAUCCAGCCAUGCCGCGUGUGUGAARAAGGUCUUCGGAUUGUAAAGCACUUUAAGUUGGGAGRAAGGGCAGUAAGUUAAUACCUUGCUGUUUUGACGUUACCGACAGAAUAAGCACCGGCUAACUCUGUGCCAGCAGCCGCGGUAAUACAGAGGGUGCRAGCGUUAAUCGGAAUUACUGGGCGUAAAGCGCGCGUAGGUGGUUCGUUAAGUUGGAUGUGAAAGCCCCGGGCUCAACCUGGGAACUGCAUCCAAAACUGGCGAGCUAGAGUAUGGUAGAGGGUGGUGGAAUUUCCUGUGUAGCGGUGAAAUGCGUAGAUAUAGGAAGGAACACCAGUGGCGAAGGCGACCACCUGGACUGAUACUGACACUGAGGUGCGAAAGCGUG